rnacentral:lncRNA from 1 species
CCCUCCUCCAUCAGUGUCAUUACCAAAGCUGACUGCGCUUCUCCGGGUAUUUAGUACUGUGGUGAGGAGCAUUGGGGAACGCUUCAGCCCAAUUCGGGUCCUCCGAUUACUGAGGCAUACGUAACAGAUAUUCUGUACAGAGUAAUGAGAUGUGUGACGGCUGCAAACCAGGUGUUUUUUUCUGAGGCUGUGUUGACAGCUGCUAAUGAGUGUGUUGGUGUUUUGCUCGGCAGCUUGGAUCCUAGCAUGACUAUACAUUGUGACAUGGUCAUUACAUAUGGAUUAGACCAACUGGAGAAUUGCCAGACUUGUGGUACCGAUUAUAUCAUCUCAGUCUUGAAUUUACUCAUG